GGAGACAGAGGUGCAUUGGAAAGUGUUUUAUUACAAGAAGUUCAGCAGGUAGAACACAGUUUGGCAGCCAAUCAGGAGCCUCCUGCACACAUGCCACGCCCCUGCAGCUGGACAUAAAACCACGACUAAAACCAGAACCAGACAAAUGAUGUCACCCUGACAACCCAGCAGCUCAUGUUACCAUAGCAACAGAACCUGUCAAACAACCUUCAGGACCUGUUCAUCAUCCAGAUCAGUGAGACAGGUGUCGUCCUCAGAUCAGUGAGACAGGUGUCGUCCUCAGUCCUCAGAUCAGUGAGACAGGUGUCGUCCUCAGUCCUCAGAUCAGUGAGACAGGUGUCGUCCUCAGAUCAGUGAGACAGGUGUCGUCCUCAGAUCAGUGAGACAGGUGUCGUCCUCAGAUCAGGGAGACAGGUGACGUCCUCAGAUCAGUGAGACAGGUGUCGUCCUCAGAUCAGUGAGACAGGUGUCGUCCUCAGAUCAGUGAGACAGGUGUCGUCCUCAGAUCAGUGAGACAGGUGUCAUCCACAGAUUAGUGAGACAGGUGUCAUCCUCAGAUCAGGGAGACAGGUGUCAUCCACAGAUCAGUGAGACAGGUGUUGUCCUCAGUCCUCAGAUCAGUGAGACAGGUGUCGUCCACAGAUCAGUGAGACAGGUGUCGUCCUCAGAUCAGGGAGACAGGUGUCGUCCACAGAUCAGUGAGACAGGUGUCAUCCACAGAUCAGGGAGACAGGUGUCGUCCACAGAUCAGUGAGACAGGUGUCGUCCACAGAUCAGUGAGACAGGUGUCGUCCUCAGAUCAGGGAGACAGGUGUCGUACUCAGUCCUCAGAUCAGUGAGACAGGUGUCGUCCUCAGAUCAGUGAGACAGGUGUCAUCCUCAGAUCAGUGAGACAGGUGUCUUCCACAGAUCAGUGAGACAGGUGUCGUCCACAGAUAAGUGAGACAGGUGUCGUCCUCAGUCCUCAGAUCAGUGAGACAGGUGUCAUCCACAGAUCAGUGAGACAGGUGUCGUCCACAGAUCAGUGAGACAGGUGUCGUCCACAGGUCAGUGAGACAGGUGUCGUCCACAGGUCAGUGAGACAGGUGUCGUCCACAGAUAAGUGAGACAGGUGUCGUCCACAGAUAAGUGAGACAGGUGUCGUCCUCAGAUCAGUGAGACAGGUGUCGUCCACAGAUCAGUGAGACAGGUGUUGUCCACAGAUAAGUGAGACAGGUGUCGUCCUCAGAUCAGUGAGACAGGUGUCUUCCACAGAUCAGUGAGACAGGUGUCGUCCACAGAUCAGUGAGACAGGUGUCGUCCACAGAUCAAUGAGAGAGGUGUCCUUCGGGAUGAAUAUCAAGUUGUUCAGAGUUUCUGCAGCAGAUUUUGAUCCAGACUGAAACCUGAACCUGGAACCGUUCCUUAAGCCCCUCAUGUCCAGACACAAAGAAAGCCAAAUAAAUAAACUAGUCUGUUAGUCU